AAAAGCCAAAUGAAUCGAAAGUUUCAAGUUUGGUUUGUAAAGGAAAUAUGGAAGUUUUGAAAUGCAUGGAAAGAUAAUCUACUUUCAU
rnacentral:ncRNA from 1 species